UACGGAGGGGGCUAGCGUUGUUCGGAAUUACUGGGCGUAAAGCGCACGUAGGCGGCUUUGCAAGUUAGAGGUGAAAGCCCCAGGGCUUAACCCUGGAAUUGCCUUUAAAACUGCAUCGCUAGAAUUGUGGAGAGGUAAGUGGAAUUCCGAGUGUAGAGGUGAAAUUCGUAGAUAUUCGGAAGAACACCAGUGGCGAAGGCGACUUACUGGACACAUAUUGACGCUGAGGUGCGAAAGCGUGGGGAGCAAACAGG
rnacentral:rRNA from 1 species